GAGAAAUCUAGGGCAAAGCCAUGAAAGGCGUGAGCUCGAAGCCAGGGGAUUACGUCCACUUCAAGUCCCAGGUCCCCCUCCACAAGAUCUCGAUCGGAUCGAAGCAAUGGAGAUAUUACGAUUUUGGCCCCAAAGCCGUACCCCCGCUCAUCUGCAUCCCCGGAAUCGCUGGCACCGCUGAUGUUUACUACAAACAGAUCAUGUCUCUG
rnacentral:misc_RNA from 1 species